CAUGGACUCCUCUCCACAACAGAGGUUUUUAAUAGGGUACCUAGACCUGACUUCAGCUUGAGGUGUGGGGUCCCAGCACCACCUUUCAGGACCCGGAUGUACAAGUUCCCUCCGGUUUCCUCAAGAUAUGGACAGCAUAAAAGGACACAUCAACACCACGAAGGCUUUGCUCUCAUAACUCUCUGAUAGCCCACCCUGUGUUCCCCAGACGCGAGCUGAAGCAUCUGAACAGCGGUCCCCCAGCCAACCGUCCGCAAGGCCUCUCUUCCCUGACCUGUAGCCUCGAUUUGUGCCUGUGUAACAUGGUUUCCCAGUCUUCAGCACCUGGUUGUCCCCUCCAAUCUGUCAGCGUGCUUCUUACAAUCUGACACCCAGAAGCCAGCACCAGGUCGGAAGCAGCCUCACUGUGGGCUUCUAGCUCCGUCGGAGGGAAACCGUUUCGUGUUCAUUCGUCUCCUCCGCAGAGGCAGGGCAGCCUCAGGUGGAUGUAGCUUCACCCAGACUUCAGAAGCUUCCCAGACUUCACGUUUGGAAACAGAGUUUACAAGGCAGGAGAUCUUACCUACGUCCUGGGGAUUGGGCCG
rnacentral:lncRNA from 1 species